GCCUGGCUGGCUCAGUCGGUGGAGCAUGUGACUCUUGAUCUCAGGGUUGGGAGUUCGAAUCUCACAUUGGGUG
rnacentral:tRNA from 1 species